CCGGAAUCUUCCCCUGGCAGAGAAACAGGGCUAAGCAGCCGCCAGGGAGCAAGCCUGGACUUGCCAUAUCACCACCUUCUGUGCUGAAGGGGCCAGAGCUUCCUCAUCACCCUGCACCCCCUAGCAAGGGAGGUGCCCGCUACACGGUCCAAAGUCCUCUCCAGACAUUCGGGCCCUGCCCGCCUUGCUGGAGGGCUCAGGAGUUCACCAGGUUUGCUUCCAGAAGAGCCAGGCUGGAGAUGCCUGCUUGCAAAUGCAGCAAAUAAAAAAUAAAUAAAUAAAUAAAAAUC